UCCUGGUAAGUGGACAUAUUUAAAUGCCUAUUAGAGAGGAUCCUAAAUAAAUAUCUUGCAUAGGAAACAUACCAGCCUCAUUUCUUUUCCAAUGCAUGACAGGGAUACAACAGAAAAUUUGUUUACUGUAGCAAUUUGUUAAUCAAUGUAUUCAUAAGACCAUUAACUAACUAACUAACUAACUAUAUCUAUCUGAAAAUACAAAUUCUACUUCAUAUGAUGGUUGUGUUUAUUGAAUUUCUGUAUCAGGCGCCCUCAGAAGAGAGUCAAGUGUGAAAUUAUUCUUCUGAAUUUUGCCAAUGGGUGGGUAAUGAUGACUAAUGGAAGAUGUAAAGCGAAGCAUGAUUUAUUCAUGCACUGUGUCUCAAAACUGAAUUAUCUUUCCUCCAGUUGUUUCCUCAGAAAAUGCUAAGAAUAAGGUAACUUUCACGACAUCACACAUUUAGCUAAUUUCAAUAUGUGGGAGGGAUUUGUGCCUCCUAUGUGACCCUCUCCUGAUAGAGGUUGUCCAUCAGGGCCACCAAGACAGAUUUAAUCCUGCACACGCUGAACCCACACAGUCACACAGAGAGAGAGAGAGUUUGCUUGCGUCUGCUUCUGUAUUAGUGAUCUAAUAGACUCCAUUCACUUUUGGAGUGAAAUAAAGCAGCUGUAUUUGAGGAACUUCUCAAGGAGGAAACAAGGUAAGGCAUGAGGACUGUAUACCACCACCACCACCACCACCACCCAAGAUGCAGAGAGGGGGGGCAAUAAGCUAAUGUUCACCAAGGGCAGCAAUACAACUUGACAUGGCUCCAAUUGGACAAACUGGAAGCUGCCCAUCCAGUGGUAACUAGUGACUUGAGCCAUAGUUUGUUCCUAAUAUAUAACUAGUAGAAACAAUAGCUUUAGUUUAACUGAUGGUACUAAUGAUAGAAGACCUCUUCGACUGGUUACUUCAUCAAGCCACUUUCCUCAGUUUUCCCACAGUUAUUUCAGGUAGCAGCUGUCUGCAAUCAAAGCAUUUGGCUAAUGUUCUUAUUUUUGAAAUAUUGCCAAACAGCUUAAAGACAUCUAUUUGUCAAUAUUAACAGGAUGAAAGAAAUGCAAACUGCCCCUAUUAUGCAUAAUAUAUACAGACAGAAUGCUAAUAAAUCCUGCAAAUUGCAGGGGAUAUUGGGUAAGAUCCAGCCACAGCAAAGCCCAUUUAUUUUAGCAGUACAAAGUUGCAAAUACAUGCUUAAGGAAGGCUGCAUUUCUGUCCAUAUUUGGGAUCUCAGUGAGAUUCCUGAAUAAACAUACAUAGGACUGGGCUAAAUGUCUCUCCCACUAGGAUGGUGACUUUUAAAAUGUUUAACAUUUGAAAGGAUCAUGUCCAUUCUCUUUGGCUUUUUCCAUUCUACAUCCCAAGCUGCUCUAAAGUUUUAUUUUUGGAAUGGCUUUUAAGCAACAUUUUCUUUUAAAGGUCUGUGAAAAAACAUGGUGUGCUUUUUAGCAAAUCAAAGCAGGUUAAUUUGCUCAUAAAAUACUAAUGGCCUCCUAUGGAAAACAACAGCAUACAGCUCUUUGGGAUAUGUCUGCCCAACCAUACAAGUUUUCUAUUGUUUUCGGUAGCAGUAAAGGUCAUAUUCUGAGAGAGUUGCUCUCCCCCCUGCAGCUUAUGAUUUCAGCUAAAAUAAAAGAUGAAGCAAGGAAAGGAGGACAGCACCGAAACAGAAGAGAAGCAAAAGAAGAGGUGGGGCCUUAAAGCUUUGCUAAGAUAUCAGGGUCCUAUCCAAUGCUACUGUUCCACUAGCACACAGCAAAGCUAGUGCCAAAUGUAUUGCUCUUUUUUUCCUUUGGACCACAUAGUGAGGCCUAGAGGGGUUCUUUUUGUCUGGGAAGCCCAGGACCUCCAUACACACUGCCUAGACUUGAGCCCUGGGGAGGUCACUUUGGUGCUGCUAAUGCAGCAGUUUUAAUUUAUUCCCGGAGGCACACUCCAUUGUCUCUCAAGACAGAUGAAUGCCAACCACAGCAGCAACAAAUCUUAUGAAGACUGACAGUUGCAUCCAAUGCCACGCACACCAAGUUCCACUUGUGCAACAGAACUUCCCCUUCCUCUCCUCUCCACAUGCCUGCAAUAUCUGUUCUGGAGGCUCCUCCAACCCUCUGGAGCAGAUUUUGAGGGCGUGAGAGGGGCUGCAGGGGAGAAGAGGAGGGGAUACUUUCAGUCUGCAAGUGGAUGUCUGCUGUGUGCUAGAAGGAACAUGACGUAUGUCAUUGCCCCCCCCCCCCGGGUACUACCACUCCCCUAAUACCCAAAAUACAGUUCUGGUAAAAUACUAAAAAAUGUAAAGUGUUUUUCAUUGAUGUCAAAACUUUAUUGCCUAUUUUUGACAAGUGCUCCUGAAGAAGCUUGUUUUGAACCAUAGCACCCUGGGCUUUUACAAUAACUUUUUAAACCAAAACUAAGGGCCAUUUCACACAUUUUGCAUGGCAGGGCUAGUCUGAUACCUUGGUGCUUCUACCUGUACUGUGGACUUGUUUGUCAGUAGCAGGCAGUGGGGUGGGGUAGCAGUGCAACCUCUGAUUGACUACAUCGUUGCUGUAUACAAGGAUGGAUAAAGAGAAGGGCGAGGUGGCAGCAAGCUCAGCACAGUGAGAAUGUUCUGGCGACGCCAAACCAUCAUUCCCACAAGUCUGUUUGCUCCAUGCUGGCCUUACCCUUCCCUCCAGGUGUUUAGGAGCAACAUGGGUGACUAGAGGUCAGGUGAGCAUCACUGCUGUGCUCCACUGUUGCUUGUUUCCUUCAUGUUUUGCAUAUUGAUGAGCAAAUUUAAAUGUAGGUUCUAAUCAAAUACACGGAACGUUUGGCUGGUACACAUGUAGCCAGCAUCUUUAGAAUGCUAAAAUCCUGUUGAUUGUGGUGUGAAAGGAGACAUUUGUAUGCAUGGAUUGUACCUGGCUCUACUCCUGAAGAGCCAAUCAAUAGAAUUUUAGAUUUUUAAGAAGGGGCUGCUGAAUUAGGGAGAGAAAGCUGGUCGUGCAACACCCAGUUGUAUAUCCCUCAUUCAGCAAAGGCAGGGAUGGAGAUCCUAUAGACCCUCUCGAGAUUUGUUGGGUUCCAGUUCCCAGCAGCCUCAGCUAGCAUAGCCAGUGAUCAGCAAUGGCGGGAGUUGAAGUCCCAUGACAUCUGCAGGGCCACAAGUCCCCUAUCCCUGACCUAGAGACAUAUAUGCAAAAGUCUGCUUUCUCACACAGGUACCUGGGUGGAAAUGUGCCAAUAAGCUGAAACAAACUCAGGGCUACUUGUCCGACUCCACUUUUUACCUGCCAGUGUUUCAUCCUCCUAUCCCUUCGGAGUAGUUGCAGUUCAGUGAUUCUGUGGUUUUCUUCUUUCAUUUUCAUUUUCUUUUGCGCAGGAAAGUCAGGCACAGCAAUUUAUUAACAAUAUGUGAUAUUGACAAGAAAGCCAAAUCAUCCUCUAGGUGAGUGCUUGUGAUUGAUGUGUAACUUUAAAAAUUGAAUUUGGUAUUGCAACUCACCCAGGUCAAUUUGUUUAAUUGUAUUAGAAGAUCAUAAACCAGACAGACAGCAAACUGUUUUAGCUCUUGCAGUGUGGUGUGUGGCCAUAACUUAAAAACGAUAAGUGACUUAUUGAGGUACAUAAUUGAAUCCUGAGGAAUCUCAUGCAUCAUGCCCACUCCACUGCCACACAGUCUUCUAGUGAUCUGUAAUACCUGUUCUGUUGGAUGGAAUAUGGUUCAGUGAGCUUGAAGAUGAAGAAGAAAUAAAAAUAAAAGGUGCAGAUGUAGACGAAAAAGAGAAAAUUGGCUUAGAUCUGCAGCUAGAGUUUGCACACACACACACCUGCUCUUUUUAUCCUUUCAGAUAAAAUAGAAUCCAAACAACAUUAUACGAGAGGAAAAGAAAAAGAGGAUAAGCAAUCUAAAGCUACAAGGUCCAAUUCUAAAUGUCUACCUCAGCUAAAAUCUUAAUUGAUUUCUGUUGGACCUUUGUCACGCAGAGCCUAUUAAGUCAAGAGUACUUGGAUUUAGUCUUACUGAGAAAUAAUCUUUAUCCAAUGGAAUAAGAAAGCGCAAGCAAACCUAUUUAUUCACUGUUGAAUGAGCUACCCUUGGGGACUUCCGGGGUGGCGCCAUCGGCAAUGGUGGAUUCCCUCUGAACUGGAGGGACCAGCUCCACGGGAAUCGGGUCUUUUCCACCACGGCGAAGCGGGGACCCAUUCAAAAAUCACAGGCAGAUGAAGCCUGUGACCAUGGGACUCGGCGGGCACCCUUAGCACCCCCCCAACCCGCAAAAGAACCCAUUAAUGGGCUCCAGAGCGAAGAGGGGGAAGUGGCGCGGUGCUGAGAGUCAACUGCUUCUUCCGUGGAGCGAAGCCGCACAGCCGUUGCCGGAGAGCGCUGCCUUUUUCCUGGGACAAUCUGGCUUUUAAAAUAAUCACCCGUGAGUACCUAAACUCGGACAAUUGGACUCUAAAUAAGGACUUGUGAGCAGAAAGGAAAAUUGGACUUAAAAGUUUACCUUAAUUUGGUGCUGAAACGGGAAGGUCUAAACAGGAAGUCAGCCUUCCGUUUCUUUGUAGCUAGAUUAAAGCAAAGACAUGGCAAACUAGAGCUCAGAAAAUUGCCUGUAAAAGAUUAACUUUCAUCAUUUAAAAUUGUUGAACCCCCUUCGGAAGCAGGAGAAGAGGGGGGAUUUUUUCAGACUGUUUAAACCUGCAGAAGUGAGGGUAAAGUAAAGUAACUUUCCACCGUCCUGAUCCUGGAGCGGGGUGUUAGGACUGACGUUUUUUGAAGCUCAUUGACCAGAGACAACGUUUUUGACAGAUAGCUAUAAGAAGAGAAACUUUGACUCCAUUGUUCCCCUUUGCUUCUUAAAGGAACAAAUAUUGACAAAAUAUCUGAAAAAGGAAACUUUGUCGCUAGACUUGUCUUUAAAAGAAAGAACAAAUAGAAGUUUUUCCCCUAGUGGGAGACUGUGAAACUGUAACCAACUGUAGCCAACUCCGGGGAGCUGGCAGCUGUUACAGAUUACAAUCGUGGGAAUAGACAUCUGACCUUGCAGGACAAUGUAUUCAGAAGCUCUGUUGUGUGCUUUCUAUAAAACAAAUGCCCUACUGGAACAGCUACAUGAGAAGACAAAUUUGAUGGCUGAUUCGAUUAGAAAUUUUGAACAGGCAGUGGGAAAUUUUGAACAGGCAGUGGGAAAAUAUGUGGAGCCCACCCAGGAAUUAAAUCAGGAGUGUGCCUUGACAGAACAGGCCCAACAGGAACAUAAGCUUUCGGAUUUGACAAAUGAACUUGGAAAAAGCCAGAUUUGGAAAGAAAAAGUUUGGUUUGGUCUGGAAAUGGGGGGCUGGAUAGACCCCCCUAUGCAGGGAUGUUUGGACUUUCCAAGGCUGGCAAUGGGCCGUGAGAUGUUUGGGAUUGUGGGGGCUCUUAAUUUUGGAGGGAUUCUGAAACACGUUUUUAAAUACCACAUGGAGUUUAGUUUGGACUAUGGAAAAGGGGCUGAUCUGUUGAAAAGGGUCAAAAACAUUGUUAAGCUGGAGCUCCCACGAGUGAAACUAGCAGGAGACAAGGGAAAAUACAGUUACAAAUAUGAAGAAGAGCUGUGGAAGGGACAUGGAAGAGACUUAAGGGCCUUGGAUAUAAGGUUACCAGGUUAAUGCGCUAGAUCGAUGGGAAAAUAAGGACUGACAAAACCCGGGACCAGGAGGAAGGGACGCUGGAUGAAGAUUGGUUUCUAUUUCUAUUUCUACUACUAGGAUUGUUUUAUAAAAUUGAUGAAUGUUAGAAAAAUGUUGGAAUGAAAUUACUUGGCUUUAGUAAAAAUGUUUAAAGAAUUAUGUAAGAAUAUUAUGGUUAUGAGAAGUUGGUAAAAAUAAGAUUUAAGUUUUAAGUUUCAAGGUUUUUAUAGUAAGAUAAGAUUAAAAUAGUUUAAGGUAAUGUAAUGACAGAAUUUUAUGAAAUAUGGAAAGGAUUUGCUGCAACAAUUAACAACUAGGAUACAAAAAAGGGAGGAGGAGGAGGUCAAAGAAAGAAGGUAAUGACAGUUGAGGAUUUGAGAAUAAUGGAUUUGUUUUUAAAAGUUUGUGGUGUAUUUUUGUUUUUUUGAAUUAUUAUUUUUUGUAUUGUUGGAUGUGGUUUGUGUUUUUCUUUGUUCUUUCUUUGUUCUUUUUCUACUUUGUUUUCUUUUGUAACUCU